UACGGAGGAUGCGAGCGUUAUCCGGAUUUAUUGGGUUUAAAGGGUGCGCAGGCGGGCUGUUAAGCCGGCGGUAAAAAUUCAGGGCUCAACCCUGUCGAGCCGUCGGAACUGGGUGCCUUGAGUGGGCGAGAAGUAUGCGGAAUGCGUGGUGUAGCGGUGAAAUGCAUAGAUAUCACGCAGAACCCCGAUUGCGAAGGCAGCAUACCGGCGCCCUACUGACGCUGAGGCACGAAAGUGCGGGUAUCGAACAGG
rnacentral:rRNA from 1 species